GCUGAAGAACGUAGCGAAAUGCGAUAAGUAGUGUGAAUUGCAGAAUUCAGUGAAUCAUCGAGUCUUUGAACGCACAUUGCGCCCCCUGGUAUUCCGGGGGGCAUGCCUGUCCGAGCGUCAUUGCUGCCCUCAAGCACGGCUUGUGUGUUGGGCCUCCGUCCUCCUCCCGGGGGACGGGCCCGAAAGGCAGCGGCGGCACCGCGUCCGGUCCUCGAGCGUAUGGGGCUUCGUCACCCGCUCUUGUAGGCCCGGCCGGCGCUUGCCGACACAUCAAUCUUUUUUCCAGGUUGACCUCGGAUCAGGUAGGGAUACCCGCUGAACUUAAGCAUAUCAAUAAGCGGAGGA
rnacentral:misc_RNA from 1 species